rnacentral:lncRNA from 1 species
AACAAAUUACUAAAAUAUAAAAUAAAUUUUUACAACUAAUAUAUAUAUAUAUUUUUUUGAGAGAUAGAUAGCAAGCUAUCCGCUUCGCUUAUUUUAUACAAAAAUAAUUCAAACUUGAAAUCUCGGAUACCAACCACCAAGCCUUUUGUCAUUUACGCUAGGGACAAUCAGUGUUACAAUUAACCAAUAUUUUGUAAAUGAGAAAUAUAUUGGUACAUAGAGUCUAAAUACUUGGGCAGGCCCGGUUUUUAAGAGCUAUACUCCAUCUCAUCCUACUAUUACUUUUAGUAAUCUCCUUAAUUAUUUUAAUAGCUGAAUAAUUUUCUGAUGAAUUAAUACACAUCUAUUAAACUAUAUGAAUCCUCAAUAUUUGUUGCCACGUGGCAAGUUUUUCUUCACCCUCACUAAUGUAACUCUUCUUCUUUCCAUCACUACAUUUUUUUUUUUUUUGAGAACUAGGUAGCAAGCUACCUGCUUCAUUCCAUCACUAAAUUUUCAAUAUGCAUUUUAAUGGUCCCAUUAAACAAACUUUCAAUUAGUGCAUUUAAAUGGUCUCAUUACCUUCCCUCCACUAUAUUUUCAAUUAAUAUAAAUUGUUUCACUACCAAACUUUCAAUUAGUAUAUUUAAAUGGUCCUACUACUAUCUACGAUCCUAAUCUCUCUAUAUCCAAUUAUUCAUCAUGUUCACUAAAUUUUCAAUAUACAUUUUAACGGUCUCAUUAAUCAAACUUUCAAUUAGUACAUUUAAAUGGUCCCACUACCUUCCCUCCACUAUACUUUCAAUUAAUGUAAAUGGUUCCACUACCAAACUUUCAAUUAAUAUAUUUAAAUGGUCCUACUACUAUCUACGAUCCUAACCUCUAUCUCUAAUUAUUCAUCAUGGCCCAUUUUCCUCCUUCCACUGAACUUUCAAUCCUUUAUCUUCGAUUUGUUCAUCAAUUCUUUAUUUCUCAUCUUUAGCUAUACACCAUCACCUCCUUCCCUCACUCCCUCUCUCUCUCACUAAU